AUCUCUUCUUAGUCCUUUGGCUAAGAUCAGGUAGUCUGUUCUUAUCCGUUUACUAUCUGAUACGCACCCUCUCUGGGACACAUUUAUUAAAGGGAAUUUUAGAAUAGGGAGAUGGAAGAAAAGCUUGCUCUGUCCACUCCACACCUUGACCUAGUAUUGAAGUACUACCAGGACCGGUACACAAC